rnacentral:lncRNA from 1 species
CUCCAUGUUACUCUUUUUGUGCAAACAGAUGGCCAUUACUCUUUUGUACUUAGCCAGCAAUAGCAAAUGGAUUGCUCCUUAAAAAGCAAAAAAUGGAUUGUUUGUAUUUAUGAUAAAUUGCAGUGCUUGUAAAUAUAUGUAGACUGAUGAUUUACAGCGGAAAGUGCGUGAGAAUAAGUACGCAUUUUUCAAAAAGUAUUUACUGGAAAAUGUUUCCAGGUCUCCGUCCACUGCUGCCGCACCAACUCUCCACGUUACACCGAUUCUGUCGUGACAUGUCGGUACUUUUCAUAAAUUAUGAAAAGUGGAGCAUUCAAAAUACAGUUCCAAUACAAUCAAUUCAAUGCACAUUUUUCUUUGUUUAUCACAAAAUAAAGUGAAGCCUAUUACAUUGUGUAUCACAUUUACAGUCAUAUGACACACUAUAUCCACACAUGAACAAACUCAUUUCCGCUUUCUUUGAACCAAUAUGCAUUGAAUUGUUCAAUAGACAAAGAAAUAUUCAGAUCUAUACAUCACACUAAUCGUUCAAGAAAUCUAUUCACAAGACAUUAGAAGGAAUAACAUUAUGUUCAGAUCCAUAUAUGGAAAUGAUAAUAUUCACGUUCACAAGACAUUUAGAUUAUGUUCAGAGCUUUCAGAACCUCUCAAUCACAAUC